GAUGAACGCUAGCUACAGGCUUAACACAUGCAAGUCGAGGGGUAACGAGAGGAAAGCUUGCUUUCCUUGUCGACGACCGGCGCACGGGUGAGUAACGCGUAUCCAACCUGCCCCCAACUAAGGAAUAACCUUGCGAAAGUAAGACUAAUACCUUAUAAUUUCCUCAGAUGUCAUCUGACGAGGAAUAAAGAUUUAUCGGUUGUGGAUGGGGAUGCGUCUGAUUAGCUUGUUGGCGGGGUAACGGCCCACCAAGGCAACGAUCAGUAGGGGUUCUGAGAGGAAGGUCCCCCACAUUGGAACUGAGACACGGUCCAAACUCCUACGGGAGGCAGCAGUGAGGAAUAUUGGUCAAUGGGCGAAAGCCUGAACCAGCCAAGUAGCGUGCAGGAUGACGGCCCUAUGGGCUGUAAACUGCUUUUAUACAGGAAUAAAGUUAGCCACGUGUGGUUAUUUGUAGGUACUGUAUGAAUAAGGACCGGCUAAUUCCGUGUCAGCAGCCGCCGUAA
rnacentral:rRNA from 1 species